GAUCCUGGCUCAGGAUGAACGCUAGCUACAGGCUUAACACAUGCAAGUCGAGGGGCAGCAUUUUAGUUUGCUUGCAAACUAAAGAUGGCGACCGGCGCACGGGUGAGUAACACGUAUCCAACCUGCCGAUAACUCGGGGAUAGCCUUUCGAAAGAAAGAUUAAUAUCCGAUGGUAUAUUAAAACCGUAUGGUUUUACUAUUAAAGAAUUUCGGUUAUCGAUGGGGAUGCGUUCCAUUAGUUUGUUGGCGGGGUUAACGGCCC
rnacentral:rRNA from 1 species